AUUAGUUUUCUAUAAUGGAUGAGGGUCAAUACAUUUUUUUUAGAUUAAGUUAUCAUAUGUUUUUCCCAUUGGUUCAUUUUUUUUUUGAUAUAUCACAAUUACAUGCAUCCAUGCAGCAAAUUUGAACUUUAUACGGACAUUGGGAGGCAUAAUGGUACAAUUGCUACCUUAAUUUGCUCUAUUUAUUUUCAAAGUUGUCUGCCUAUAUGGUUGAGUUUUAAAUACUACGUUGAUGUGAUAUUGUGACCAUAUUUUUUUAAUGAAUAAGAACAAGCACCUCAACUUCACUCGCUAAAAUAUAGAAUUUGCUUUCUUACAAGUUUUUAUUGUACCAGCAUUUUCAGCAAAAAAGACCUCCAUAAUAUGUGGCUAGAUUGCAUUAAUGCCACCAUCACUACCUGCAAAUGCUACCGUUAACGUGACAGAUGGAGUAUUUAUCCUAUAUUGAAACGACGUUCAACUCAAACGUGCAUCUUAUCACAUAUCCCAAAAUUAUGGUUUCAGUUUCAUACAAUUGAUAAACUCUUAAAGAAAGCGGAAGAAGAACAAUAACAGGUAUGCAAAUAUUCUCUUGCAUUAGAAUGGGUUGAAAUGAUGCGCUAAAGGAGAUGAUGAAACUAACCCUCUAGUUAAAGCUAAUCCUCUGUCACUUUUCAAUUAUCAUCUUGAUUUCAAAGAAUGGUUGUUGUUGUAGAUAUUAAAAUUUAUAUCUUUGUUCAACAUAUAAUAGAUAGUGUACAAAAGGUGAUACUUAUAAACCUCUCGCUUGAUUUCGGUAUGACAUCAUUCAUUCUUUCAAUGGCAAAUGUAAAAUAUUGACUAUUCUCGAUUUGCCCUGUAAGCAUACUUACGACAAUCAUCUACUAAAAAUCCACAACCUGUAAUUCAGAGCAUUUUUUGCCUAAUCAUAUAGGAAUAUCUGAUAAGUGGUAAAUGUUUAACUACUUCAAAAUUCAUGCAGUUCACAUUGCAUUUGUUUGUUUU